UCAGAGCUAGCUUUCAUGGUACA
rnacentral:siRNA from 1 species